GAGGAGAGAAUGGUUUCCUACAGCUAGCUUAGAGUCAGGCUAAUUUUCAGGAUAACCGACUCUCUUGCCUCCUGAGACAUUUGCACGACCAUGUGAUUCUCAUGAACGCAUUUGUGUUACCCAAGGGUAUAAAUACCCGUCAGUUCUUGGUGAAUUGGAGGUCUCACAGGCGGUUGUGAAAGACCUUAGCUGCACUGUGAUUUCAGGCAACUGUCCUGUAUUUUCUCUCUCCCUAAAUGUGGAGAUCAUUGUUGAUAUUUAAUGACAAGGCCUUUCCUGAGGAAGAAUAAAGAAUGAGAAAUUCUACUUUCCUCCCCAGCAUCCUGCUUCCCUUUCCUUCCUAAAUAUGUAAUUCCACAAAGAGUUCUCCUGACCUGAUACACAGGGGGUGCCGCUAAGGAACGCUUUGGAGGGGCCUGUCUUCGUGCCAGUCCUGGUUCCAUUCUUAUCAGCUUUGGAAUUCCAGCUGUGAGGAAUACCUGAGAUUGAAGUAUUUUGAAGCACUGGUGCCUGAAAUAAUAUAAACAAAGAAAUAUACAACAGAAUUCUGGAAAUAAAAAGAGAAUAAACAGAUGCUAUUUAGUCAGAGCUUUCUAUAGCAAAGGAGUCAUUCACCAUCAGUUGUGUUUGGUUAGGGAUUCAAAGUUAGGCAGGACAAUGGGAAAGCUUCAUAGUGAAAAAAUGGAAGGCUUCAAGUAUACUCUCAUUGGUAGAUAUUGUAUGGGGAAGUUUGAGGUGGUCUAGCUACGUAAUUGGUUUAGGGAGCAUAUUUGGCUUUCCCUGGUUGUUCUUGAAUUGGAAUGGUGGGGGACAAGAAAUAGGGAGCUGUCAGUCAUUGACCAGUCCUGACUCUUCCAGGCCAAUUGCUACACAAGUUAAUGUUUAUCUUCCAAGACUAGUGGCUUCAGGGAUUAUGGGCUGGUGUUCUACUGAUGUAUAAGUUUUGGUCAUUGUCCAAAUGGACAUAUAUUUGGAUAACAGAUCACAUAUCUAGCUAAGGAUUCCUAUGAAAAAGGGUGAGAUGUCUUGCCAGAAUUCUUUAUCUGUCACAACUUUCUAUAGCUCCAAAGAAUGACGAUUAGGGGUAUAAAAGGUAUAGAUGAGGGGAAUAAGUGAGAAAAAGAGAAAAAUGCAUAUCACCUAAGUUACAGUUGAAAGUUUUAAAAUUGAGUACAAGCACAUUAUUGCAAAGUAAGAACUUCAGCAACCUAAGAACCCAAACCUUUCUCAUCUGGCUUCAAGUUGCCCCAGGUGGGCCCAGUUUCAUCUUCUUUCCUAUUCCCUUUUGGACCAUAUGGCUGAUACACACAUAUACCUCCAGAAACUUGAGCCAGGUCAUGGUCUUUGAGGAUAUAGCUGUGAAAUUUAUGCAGUGGGAGCAGGCUUUUCUGGCUCCUGCUCAAAGGAACCCCUACAGAGAUGUGAUGCUGGAGAAAAAUCUUCAGGAGCCUGGCCUCAGUAGAUUGUGUGAUUCAACUUAAAACCAUGAGUCACUAGUUUGGCAGGAUAUUCAUGGAGAAAAAAAUCCAAUGAACAGAAAAAUAGAAAGAAUCACAAAGAAUGAUUCCUGGUUAUACAUUUUAGGAGAAAACUGGGACUGUUAUUUCACUAAAAUUCAGCACAAGAACAAGGGAGAUAGUCAAGAAGUCAUAAGGUGGAGAGCCUCUGCGAAUGUAAUGAAUGUAAUCAAUGUGGAAAAAGCUUUGGCUGUUUUCCACAUCUUACUGUGCUGAAGUAUACUCCUAUUGGAGUAAAAUCCUAUGAAUUCAGUACAUAUGUCAAUGCCUUAUGGAUCAUUUAUCUCUUGAUAAUCAUGACAGAUCUCACCUGGACACAAAUGCCGUCAGUGUAAGAAAUGUGGGCAAGCCUGCCAUUGUAUCUCGUAUUUAAGGACUUCUAUAAGUGCUCGUAAUGGAGAGAAAUGCUAUAAAUACAAAGAAUGUGGCAAAGUC